AUUGAACGCUGGCGGCAGGCCUAACACAUGCAAGUCGAACGAGUGGCGGACGGGUGAGUAAUGUCUGGGAAACUGCCUGUUGGAGGGGGAUAACUACUGGAAACGGUAGCUAAUACCGCCUACCCUCAUAUGUGCCCAGAUGGGAUGAGCUAGUUGGUGGGGUAACGGCUAACCAAGGCGACGAGCCCUAGCUGGUCUGAGAGGAUGACGGGCAACACUGGAACGGAGCAAGGGGCCAGAUUCCUACGGGAGGCAGCAGUGGGGAAUAUGGGACAAUGGGGGCAAGCCUGAUGCAGAAAGGCCGCGUGUAUGAAGAAGGCCUUCGGGUUGUAAAGUACUUUCAGCGGGGAGGCGUUACCCGCAGAAGAAGCACCGGCUAACUCCGUGCCAGCCGCCGCGGUAAUUC
rnacentral:rRNA from 1 species